rnacentral:ncRNA from 1 species
CUAGUAUACUGCGAUGUGUGAUUUGAUCGAAAUUCUGAUUUUACAGACUCGGAAGGAGAAACUGUCAUCCCAGUCAAUCCAAUUGGGAUGCCCUGGACCUGACAUGUGCACUUGGAAAGAGUAACAUGAAGCUCAGAAUUGGGGUGUAGUCAAUACUCCCAAAUAAAAAGGGAAUUGAUCUAUGGUCGAUUUCGUAACAAAUCAAAUAAAGAGGAAUUUCUAUUUGUACCUCGUAAAAAAAGCUUUUUAUUUUGUAGAAUGAAACAUUUCCUUUCUUUUCGUGGAAAGAAAUUAUGUUCAAGUAAGCAAAUAUGUCAUGGUUCUAGGAGUCUAUCUAUCGCGUAUAGACUUUAAGGGCGUGGUGGCCUAACCAUCGAGGUGAAGUCGGGACCUAAAAGAUCGAAUGGAACAAUAUAUAGACAAGUAAAUCCCUUAUGGGUUCCAAGGUAUUCCUUUAAUUAUUAAGAGUUAAGGGAUUUAUCAUUCAAAGGGAAGUAGACUACUCAAGAAUUUUCUAUUUUAUUUGUUGGAAUUGAAUUUGAAUAAAGAAUUAAUAGAAGACGGAAUCACUGAAAUCUUGUUUCGUCUUCACUGGGAACUUGAGUAAGGAGUAGACCUUUUUAUUUUGGGAUUUUCUAGAGUUUGAAAACGAGAACUCCUUUCCUUAUUUGGUGUACCUACUUGAGCCGGAUGAAAGGAAACUUUCACGUCCGAUUUUGAAGGGGGGGAGAUCCUAUAGAAUCCUAUCCCAAUUU